rnacentral:rRNA from 1 species
UACGGGGGGGGCAAGCGUUGUUCGGAAUUACUGGGCGUAAAGGGCUCGUAGGUGGCCAACUAAGUCAGACGUGAAAUCCCUCGGCUUAACCGGGGAACUGCGUCUGAUACUGGAUGGCUUGAGUUCGGGAGAGGGAUGCGGAAUUCCAGGUGUAGCGGUGAAAUGCGUAGAUAUGCGGAGGAACACCGAUGGCGAAGGCAAUCCCCUGGGCCUGCACUGACGCUCAUGCACGAAAGCGUGGGGAGCAAACAGG